rnacentral:lncRNA from 10 species
CCAAUAGUUUGACUUUAUUAAAUCAAUAGAACGGGAUCUCAGUGGUUAAGCCGUCUUAACAGGGCCAGGUCUCUUGAGGUAGUUUUUGGGCCAUCAGUUAAUUACAUCGACUUUCCAGGAAACAGACUAUGGAGAAUGAGAGGAAUCAGACUGCCUGUCACACACCUCUCAUGGAACCCCCUAGUGACACCUAUAAGGACGUUACAGAUCUAGUUCCAGACUUUACAGAUCUAGUUCUAUUUUCUCAAGUUACAGAUGGGGAAACUGAGGCCCCAGCAGGGGGAGGGGAUGUAUCUAAGUCACUAGUGAGUUGGCGGCAGUCAGGUCUCUUGAUUCUUUUCCCCAUACUCUCAGCCCAACUUCUCAGUGGAGAGGGGCUGGCAGGCCUGCUCUCUGGAUAGAAUGUAGCAAAAGGCCCGUGGUCAAACUGAUACGGGGUGGGGAAGGUUGGUGGGCUCUCAGCCAUCAGCCAUUCUCAUCUUACACGUGAAAAACUCAGCUGAGAGAAGGGAAGUGACUUCCCCCCUCAGGGUAACACCCAGGACUGGAGCUUGGAUCUCCUGCUUCUCAGCCUCCUAGAAGCUUCCACAAUGGAAUACAAAAGGAAAGGUAUAUGGCGGCAUGGCCAGUCUGGAGAAAGGGAUCAAGUUAAUGACUUUAAAUACAAAUAAUCUGAACAAAUGACUAGAUAAAAAUUGAUUUCCCUAACAUGAUCUCACCCUCCAUGAGCUGUGCUGUUUCUGGAGAGAGCAGUCCAGGAAAGGGGUGUAGGAAAAUGCAGUGUUAGAACGAACACCAAGGCUGCAAAUGGGGGCAGGGGUGGGCUGGGGGCAUUUAGACAGUCUGCACUGGGGUCAGUAAAUCCAUGACUCCAUCUUUGGUGAGGAAGGCCACCUCACCAGUGUUCUGACACCAAACCUCAAAAUGUGCAGGGUCCUCCAGGGCCCUCUUGCCAGCGAUUAUCACAAAGGGGUAGCCAAACUUGUUGGCAUCUUUCAGUCUGUUUCCGAUGGUCAGAUGGGUCCUGUCGUCCAGGAGCACCUCCCCGUGAAGCUGAGGCACUGCCUCUGUGAUGUGGUCGUACAGCUGCCCUAUGAGCUCGGAGGCCGCCUGCUCCUUACUGCCCUUCUUAGGGGGGAUGAGGCAGGCUUGGUAAGGGGCCAGUAGGCUGGGCCAGCGGACACAGUCUUCUGUAGAGAGGACUUCAAUGGCAGCAGCCAAGAUCCGUGUCACACCCAAGCCAUAGCACCCCAUUUCAGCCAGGGUUGGUUUGCCACAGACAUUGGUAAACUGGGCAUUGAAAAUGGAUGAGUACUUGGUACCCAGGUAAAAUGUGUGCCCCACCUCAAUGCCUUUGGUUUUAGUCAAUGGGCCCUGGCAAGCAGGGCAGUUCAUUUGUGACAAGUCUAGUGUCUCCAUGUUGGCUGAGAAGCUGCAGCGGGGACAGAUGGCAAGCCGGUCCUCUCCAAUAUCCACUGGGAGCUGGAACUCAUGAGACACUGUGCCCCCGAUGGUGCCCACAUCGGCCUGGACCUUGACAAAUGGCAGCCCUAGCUUGUUGAACAGGCUGCAGUAGGCAUCACACACCAGGCUGUAGGUCUGCUGGGCAGCCUCUGGGGAGGAGUCAAAGGUGUACAUAUCCUUCAUGUAAAACUCUCGGCCACGGAGAAGACCAAAGCGGGGCCUGGGCUCAUCCCGAAACUUCCUUGUCACUUGGUACAGCAGGAAGGGAAGCUGCUUGUAGGACAGUUUCUUCUGGGAGGCAAUUAAGGCCGUAAUGGCUUCCUCGUGAGUUGGUCCUAAGCAGUAUUCCUUGCCAUGCCUGUCUCUAAGUCUUAGCAGCUCUUUGCCCAUCAAGUCCCACCGGUUGGUGGCUUGCCAGAGCUCUGCCGGGCUGAGGCUGGGCAUGUUGACUUUCUGGCCCCCGAUGGCCUGCAUCUCCUGGUCUAUCACUCGCACGAGCUUCUCCAUGGCACGGACGGUAUAUGGCAGGAGGUGGUAACAGCCGGGGCUUGCUGGGUAGAUCAGGCCCACCUGCAGCAUCAGCCGCUGGCUCUUACAGGUCAGGUCAUCAGAUUUGUCCUGCAGGGAGAGCACCCGGUCUUCCCGAAGGUUCUGUGGCUGGAACACACGAGACAGCAGCAGGCGCCGCCCUCUUCUUGGGGCACAGUGGUGAAACCUGCAAGGAACAUACCCAGAGAGCUGGCGGCUGCAGGUGGCCAGGGCGGGCAAUGCUCUGCAUCUUGUCAGCAGCCCUUCCAUGACACCCUGGCACCGGGAAGCCCACGCCUCCCGCAAG